rnacentral:tRNA from 4 species
GGCAGGAUAGCUCAGGGGUAGAGCAGAGGACUCAUAAGCCUUUGGUCGGCGGUUCAAAUCCGCCUCCUGCUA